CAGCAGCCGCGGUAAUACGAAGGGUGCAGGCGUUAAUCGGAAUUACUGGGCGUAAAGCGUGCGUAGGCGGUGAGUUAAGUCUGCUGUGAAAUCCCCGGGCUCAACCUGGGAAUGGCAGUGGAUACUGGCUCGCUAGAGUGUGUCAGAGGAUGGUGGAAUUCCCGGUGUAGCGGUGAAAUGCGUAGAGAUCGGGAGGAACAUCAGUGGCGAAGGCGGCCAUCUGGGACAACACUGACGCUGAGGCACGAAAGCGUGGGGAGCAAACAGGAUUAGAUACCCGCGUAGUCCCUGUCUCUUAUAC
rnacentral:rRNA from 1 species